rfam:Algibacter lectus DNA, contig: contig00002, strain: JCM 19300.
GUGCAUUAGGGAUUGAUGCGGCAUCCUUUUUUGUUUUUCUCAAAAAAGAUACAGCGGAAAGCCCGACCCGAU